rnacentral:rRNA from 1 species
UACGAAGGGGGCUAGCGUUGCUCGGAAUCACUGGGUGUAAAGCGCACGUAGGCGGCUUUUUAAGUCAGGGGUGAAAUCCUGGAGCUCAACUCCAGAACUGCCUUUGAUACUGAGAAGCUUGAGUCCGGGAGAGGUGAGUGGAACUGCGAGUGUAGAGGUGAAAUUCGUAGAUAUUCGCAAGAACACCAGUGGCGAAGGCGGCUCACUGGCCCGAUACUGACGCUGAGGCACGAAAGCGUGGGGAGCAAACAGG